UCUAGUCUGGGGAGACUCAUUUGGGACCCCUUCCCUCCAGAACUGUGAGCGCACGAUUCAUAUGGCUUUAGGCCAUUCGAGCUCGUUCCAGCAGCAGUGGAAGGUUGACACGGCAUUGAGCUCUGAACGUCUAAAUAUCUGAAGUCCGUGAGCCCAACCUUCAUCUCUUCCCUGUUUGUAAGAGACUGAAUGACAAAGCCCAAGCGAGGCACAGGAAAGUAACAGCCCCUGCAUGGCUGGCCCAAUCUGCGGAGGUGCCCAGCGCUUCCUGUCCUUGCACCUGCCCUGGGCCUGCCUUGGACCCUGGGGUCUCCCCCCCGCCCCCGGUUGUCGCGUCUCCCCGGGAGGGCACCCAGUCUGGCUGGGACAGGAUGGGCGACCCCACGCCAACCACCUAGGUGAGUUACUGUCAGCCGACAGAACCAUGAGACAACAGUACUGUUCAGCCCCUAAUUUUGGGGGGGGUAGUUUUAUAGCAACAAGUACCAUCCCUUGGGGGCCCAGACGUAGAGUUUCUGUAAAGCUUCUGGCCCUGCGAGCUGCUAGCCUAGGUGACCUUACUCUCUCCGUUCUAGAAUUCCCACGGAGCUUGCGGAUACCACGUAACCACGUAUCUUCUUACGUACAUAGGAUUUCCUCCUCAGCUGGACUCUGUGAUCUUCCAAGAGGACGGACAGUGGAAGUGCCUUCUGGAGUCCCUUCGUGUCCUAGUACUGGAUGAACAAUGUAACUGGUGAGCUGCUGAGCACUGGAUUAAGAGCAUUCUUGGCCAUUUUAGCUCUCUGCCAACGACUUUAGCCUCGGCUCUUUCUCAUGGCUUCUUCUGGGGCAGUCUCAGGGCACGGUUAUGAAAAGCGUGUGUGGCGGCGGGCAGCCUUGGGUCUUUCCUCCUGAAGACAGUCCGUGGCCGCCGAGGAGCAGCAGCAGCAGCAGCAUCUGGGCCUGCCCCAGACCUGGCCUAGUUGGGUGUUGGAAGAGAACUCAACACCCUGCACAGGUGAUUGUCAAAUAUAACGUCGUUCGAAGCGUGUUCCAAAGCUUGUUCGCCCCGUGAGUCCCCGACACCCCUUCCCUUGGAAUAACUGAUAGACUGCAUUCCACCCGACCCUGGUACCCCAAUGGUCAGUGCUCAAGAAUGCAGGGGUCUGUUUUAAGCACACUUCAAGUUCAAGAGGAAUCUGAGCAUGAUUUUGUUCUGUGGCGCGCACCUGCUCCUCAGCUGCUCACUGGCACCGGGCUGGUAGCCCUGGGGCAGCAUGCACUCAUUCCGCCCGGUAGGGACCUUCUAUUUGAGCUUGGUACUCUUUCCUCCUGUGAAUAACCCUUGCCAAGAGACACCUUUACAGUAAGUGCGAAGGAGAUGCUGGCACAGAGUUCCAGCUGAGUAAGAGUCAAAGCCAGAGUGAGAGGGAAAUAAAAUGCCUGUGACAGAAACACAGUUUAUAGAAAAUGAUGUUGGUGGGUCAGCAGACAGCAUGGCUUGCUGGCACAGGCAAAGUUCAGGAAUGGAGGUUUGAUGUGAAAGGGCUUUAUGAGAAAUGCCGUCUAAGUGAGUGCGUUCAUGGUGGAGGUUUUGCAACUACUGCUUAUCUAAUGAGAAGUUCUAGAAACUCUUAGAGCAAGAGGUAGUAGAGUAUAAAAUACACAUUUUGAAUUUGAAAUCCUGGCUUUGGUGCUCCUCAGCUCUUGUGUCCUUAGGCAACUAUUUAAUCUACCUGAACUUUUACUUCUUCAUCUGUAGAAAUGCUUCUGGAAUAGUAGGGUAAGACCUUUGAAAUUCCACUCUGCCAAACAAUCAAAGAGAACACAGGUAAAAAUUGUUAAAAUCAUUUUUUUCAAAGUUCUGGAAAUUAGCUAAAGGACUACAACAAUCCAGGGAGUAUUUAUUCAAGAAAAACAGUUGAAUCUCAGUAUGAACAGGGAGCUUUGUGGCAUUUUGACUUAACCACUUUCCUUACCCUCACUCCAAAUAUGUGGUGGCCAAGGAAGCGAACAGAAUGGGCUUGUUAAAAACGAUCAGCAACAACUGUUUAGCAUCAUCGCUAUCUAAGGCAGUCACACCAGUCAAGGCUAACGAGAGACCCAAGGUUUUAACUGAAAAAAGUUAAAACUGGUGAACGAGAUGUCCACAGAGGACACUGAAAAGCUCUAGCGUGUUAGUGGAGUCCGAGAAGUCCUUGCACACCCAGGAGAUCUGACCAGAUCACCUUGAGGCUCUGCAGAAGCAAGAAGUAAAGGCUAAAGUAGAACUGUCAGGACUUUCCAGAACACUGAAUGUGUGCUCCAACUUUGAUGGAAAACAUUAACCUACAUAUCGAAGACGUUCAAAGAACUCCACGGAAGAAAAACUCAAGAGACCACAGGUAGACCCAACAUGGCCAACUUCUGGAAAGCAGCAGGAGAAAGGGAACUCAUCACAGGGGAUCUUCAGCAAGUUGAAUGUCCCAACAGAAACCAUGCAGGCCAGGUGGUAGGAUGGAUGACACGUUUAAAGUGCCAGAAGAAAAACAAAAAUGAAAAAACCCUAUUAGCCAAGAACUUGAGAGCCAGCAAACUGUUCUUCAAAAAAUAAAGACAUCCCCAGAUAAACAACUGAGAGAAUAUGUUGCAAAUAGACGUGUUUUGCAUGAAAUACUAAAGGGACUCCUUUAGACUGAAAUAAAAGGAUGAUCCGAACUUGAAUUCACGUGAAUAAAGAACACCAGUAAAAAUAAAUAUAUGAGAAUUAUAAAAGUAUAAAUGUAUUUUUAUUUACACCUCUUCCAUAUAAUUUAAGACAACCGCAUAAAACAAUACUUAUUAAACUUCUGAUAGGUUUACUUAUAUAUAGAUGUAAUUUGUAUGACAAGAGCACAAAAGAGAGAAAAGGAAUGAAACUAUCGGAGCAAUGGUUUUGUAUACUAUUGCAAUUAAUCAGGUAUUAAUCUAAACCAGAUUGUUUUAACAUGCUAAUAGUAAACCUUUCGGAAAACCACUAAGAAAAUAACUUUAAAAAUAUAGUUGAGAAAGAACAAAGGAAUUAAAGGGGCGUACUCAAACUUAUUUAAUGCAAAAGGCGGCAAUUACAAAAGAAGAGAGGAACAAAAGCGAUGUAAGACACAUAGAAAAUGAAUAAUAAAAUAGUAGACCUAAAUCCUACCUAAUCUAUAAUUAUAUUAAAUGUAUAUGGAUUAAACAUUCCAAUAAAAAGGCAGAGAGUACCAGAAUGAAUUUCUAAAUAUGGUGUAACUGGGGCACCUGGGUGGCUCAGUUGGCUAAGCAUCUAACUUCGGCUCAUGGUCUCAAGGUGCUGGGCUUGAGCCUCACAUCGGCUCAAUCAGAGCAGGGAGGCUGCUUGUCCCUCUCCCUUUCUCUCUGCCCCUCUCCCCACACUUGCUCCCUCAGUCUCUCCCUCAAAUAAAUGAAGAAUAGAAUAAAAUCUUUAAAACAAACAAACAUGGUAACUACAUUUUCUCGGCAAUACACACUCUUUAGAUUCAAAGGUACAAAUAGACUCACAAUAAAAGGAUGGAAAAGGAUGUACUAUGCAAGAAGUAACCAGAGAAGAGAAGAGCUAUACAAAUAUCAAGGAAUAUACACUUUAAAAUUGUUACCAGAGACAAGGGAAGACAUUUUAUAAUGGAAAAGGGUCACUCCAAUAGGAAAAGAUAAUUAUAAACAUAUAUGUACCAGGACGCCCAGGUGGCUCAGUAGUUGAGCAUCUGCCUUCGGCUCAGGUCGUGACCCCAAAGUCCUGGGAUGGAGUCCUGCAUUGUGCUCCCCACAGGGAGCCUGCUUCUCCCUCUGCCUGUGUCUCUGCCUCUCUCUCUCUCUCUUUUUCUGUGUCUCAUGAAUGAAUAAAUAAAAUCUCUAAAAAAACAAACUAUAUAUGUACCUAAAAAUAGAGCCCAAAGCAAAAACUAGUAAAAUUAAAGAGGGAAGCAGACAAUUUAGUAAUAGUUGGUGACUUUAAUAACCCACUUUUGAUAAUGCAGAAGAUCAACAAUGAAAUAGAAAACUUGAACAAUGAAUGAACUAGAUCUUUUUUAAGAUUUAUUUAUUCAUUCAUUCAGGAGAGACACAGAGAGAGGCAGAGAUACAGGCAGAGGGAGAAGCAAUCCCAGGGGACUCGAUCCCAGGACCCCGGGAUCACGACCCGAGCCCUAGGCAGAUGCUCAGCCGCUGAGCCCCCCAGGCGCCCCUGGAUAAACUAGAUCUACUAGACAACUAAAGAAUGCAUCCAACAGCAGCCAAACAGACAUUCUUCUCAUGUACACAUGGAACAUUCUCCAGGAAAGGCUACACGUAUCCCCUGUUUCUCAAAAGUUUGUUUUAAGCCACUUUGCUUUCAUGAAGGACCUCCAUCAGGCCUUCAUUGUGAAAGGCCUCUUGCUUUUGCUAACUGAAUGAAAUCAAAGAGGAUUUCCACUUUUAUGAAGAAAAGGUGAGAAGAGUGUUCAGCAUUGGUUUCACAGCAAUAGAGGGAUGUGCACACCCAGAGCAGCAAGAGCGGCCCCACGGUGCUCCUUCUCCUGGAACUACCCUCCGCAUCUCAGCACCAAGCUGCCAAAGCUCUGAACUGUGUCUGUGAGCAUCUGUUCUUCAGUUUGAUUUAUUUUGUGCAUCCAUUAGCAAGAUGUGUCAUAAAGUAUCAGAAAAGCCUAAACGAGGUCUGGGGAUGCUCAAUUUUUUUUUUUUUUUUGUCUAAAUUAAUGGUAAUUGCUCCUUUAUGCCAUUUCAGCUCACAAAAGGUUUCACAGGGACCCUCCAUUUUGGGGUGGGGGAGGGGGAAUCCUGUGCAUAUUAGGUCAUCAAACCUCAGUAAGUUGUAAAGGACUGAAAUCGCACAAACUCGAUUCUGGAUCAUAUGUGGGAUCAAAACAUUUCCUCGUUUGUAAAAUGUGACAAUAUUUACCUGAGAGGGGGAUAAAAGAAAUCACAUCUCAAGUAGCUAGCACGGGGCCUAAUAAAUAGUAAGAAUAUAAUAUAUACAAUAGUGUGUUAGUUUUCUCUUAUGCUAGAGCAUUGUAAAUCAUAAGUUAGCUUCCUCCUUAAAAAUUUAAAAACAAAAUGUUUAAAUGCCUUGAAUUGGUGGCAGAUUAUAUAAUUGAUGGUCUCUUAGUACUGAAGAAAUACAGUAUCACAACCCUGAUGCUUCCACCACCAUCGUGGCUAAAAGUUGAAUAUAAAACUUGUCUUAGCAGUAAACAACUGGUACAUUUCUAAAUUAUCCUGUUUGUAACUAAAUAAGAUGAUUAUUGAUCCACUUGGUUUUUCUUCAAUGAUCGUCCAUUAGCGUCCAUGAAUGUGGGACUUUUUCAUUCAUUUCACACCAGAGAGGAUCAGACCGUAUUUUCAUGAGUUAAUUCCUCUGAUCAAGAUACAAAGUUUGAGGGACCCCUGAGUGGCUCAGUGGUUGAGCGUCUGCCUUCGGCUCAGGGUGUGAUCGAGUCCUGCAUUGGACUCCUCCCGGGGAGCCUGCUUCUCCCUCUGCCUGUGUCUCUGGCUCUCUCUCUCUCUCUCUGUGUGUGUCUCAUGAAUAAAUAAAUAAAAUCUUUAAAAAAAUAUAAAGUUUGAAUUUUUACCACUUUAGAACAGAACCCAGUUCAGUCUGUGGCUACUUUCAUGCAACAAAGCAGAGUAGUUGUGACAGAGUCCAAAUGGCCCAUAAAGCCUAAAAUAUUUAUUAUAUGGCCUUUCAAAGAAAAAGUUUGCUGAACUCUAACCGAAGAACUAAAUAAUUCUUGGGUGGGCCUCAUAGAUGAUAUUCUAGGAAAGACACUGAAAAGGCAUGCAAGUCAUCCUUUUACUUCCAAGUUUGCAUAACUUUCUUCAACAUGGCCAAUCCUGUCUCAUUCUGAGUGCCCACCAACCCCCACCAGUCGAUGUUUGAAGCAAUUCCCAGAUACACACUGUAACGUCUAUAAGUGAGUCUAUUUGAAUUGUAUUUUAAGACAUAUAAUACUAAUAGUGAUAGCGCUUAUCUGUUUUGGAAAUAUGAGCACAACCGCAGUUAAUUUUCAAAUUCUACUGUGCAUUUGGCAGACUGGCCAGAUGUCCUCUAAUUUAUAUUAGGGCUUC